rnacentral:rRNA from 1 species
GAUGAACGCUGGCGGCGUGCCUAAUACAUGCAAGUCGAGCGAACAGACGAGGAGCUUGCUCCUCGGUCGUUAGCGGCGGACGGGGGAUGAACACGUGGAUAACCUACCUAUAAGACUUGGAUAACUUCGGGAAACCGGAGCUAAUACCGCAUAAUAUAUUGAACCUCAUGGUUCAUUGGUGAAAGAAGGUUUUGCUUUCACUUAUAGAUGGAUCCGCGCCGCAUUAGCUAGUUGGUAAGGUAACGGCUUACCAAGGCAGCGAUGCGUAGCCGCCCUGAGAGGGUGGUGGGCGACCAUGGAGCUGCUAAGCGGCCCAGAAGCCUACGGGAGGAAGCAGCAGGGAAUAUUACGGAACGGGCGAAAGAAUGCCGGAGCAACGCCGCGUGAGUGGUGAUGGUCUUCGGAUCGUAAAAAUCUGUUAUCCGGAAAGAACCAAUGUGUACGUAACUAUGCACGUCUUGACGGUACCUAGUCAGAAAGCGCCGGCUAACUACGUG